GUGAAUCAUCAAAUUUUUGAACGCAAAUUGCGCCUUUUUCGGAAGGCAUGUCCGUUCGAGGGCACCAUUUAACAAAUACUGUGCAUUUCGUGUGCACACGUUGAUGAGCUUUCCAAACUUAUGUAUUAUCUUUGGUGGCGCAUAAUAAACAGCGCGAUGCUUUUUAUCAGAUAGAGUGUAGUAAAAUUUUUUCUUGCUUGGGUUGUGAAACGCGUGAUCGCGCAAUGGGAGUGGCAAUCUUAGUUAAUCACUGCCUCAACGCCACCCUUUCUCGCGAC
rnacentral:misc_RNA from 1 species